CCUACGGGAGGCAGCAGUAGGGAAUCUUCCGCAAUGGGCGAAAGCCUGACGGAGCAACGCCGCGUGAGUGAUGAAGGUCUUCGGAUCGUAAAACUCUGUUAUCAGGGAAGAACAAAUGUGUAAGUAACUGUGCACAUCUUGACGGUACCUGAUCAGAAAGCCACGGCUAACUACGUGCCAGCAGCCGCGGUAAUACGUAGGUGGCAAGCGUUAUCCGGAAUUAUUGGGCGUAAAGCGCGCGUAGGCGGUUUUUUAAGUCUGAUGUGAAAGCCCACGGCUCAACCGUGGAGGGUCAUUGGAAACUGGAAAACUUGAGUGCAGAAGAGGAAAGUGGAAUUCCAUGUGUAGCGGUGAAAUGCGCAGAGAUAUGGAGGAACACCAGUGGCGAAGGCGACUUCUGGUCUGUAACUGACGCUGAUGUGCGAAAGCGUGGGGAUCAAACAGGAUUAGAUACCCUGGUAGUCCACGCCGUAAACGAUGAGUGCUAAGUGUUAGGGGUUUCCGCCCCUUAGUGCUGCGNGCGUACGACGAUAGCGACGCCGUCCGUCGGGUAGUUACGACCGACGAAGGUUAGUAACGUUACGAAGAGUAGUUAGGCGNGAGAGAGCGACGACGACGACGACGGAGGAGGAGG
rnacentral:rRNA from 1 species